rnacentral:rRNA from 1 species
UACAGAGGUCCCAAGCGUUGUUCGGAUUCACUGGGCGUAAAGGGUGCGUAGGCGGUUGGGUAAGUCUGACGUGAAAUCUCCGGGCCUAACCCGUAAACUGCGUUGGAUACUAUCCAGCUAGAGGAAUGGAGGGGAGACUGGAAUACUUGGUGUAGCAGUGAAAUGCGUAGAUAUCAAGUGGAACACCAGUGGCGAAGGCGAGUCUCUGGACAUUUCCUGACGCUGAGGCACGAAAGCCAGGGGAGCAAACGGG